AGCCACUUUGAAGUAUUGAUCGUAUUCUGCGGCAAACAAAGCAGAUGAAUAAAGUUGCAGUCAACCUCUCCACUUAAGGUACUGCUGACUCACUUGAUGUCUGGAUAAUAGGCUCGCAGCACUACUUAGGAACAUGGCACAUGGACCAAGCAUCUGCUCAGGCCUUCCCUCCCUCGGCAUUACUCCUGGUGACUGGAUCUUAGAGCAAACACCUCCAAUCUACAGCAAUCCAGGUAUGGAGAGGAAGUAUGGAGGAUAUUGUCUGUCUGUCUGGCAAAACAGCCACAGACCCAGCCACUCCUCCUGCAGUUAACAGAAGCGGCAAAAAUUUGUUUGCCAUUCAGCGGCAUGAGGCCCAACCCCAGCACCAAGGGCAAAUGUUGAAAUGCCUGGAGAACUGCAGGGAGUCUUGCUGGCUCUGGAGAGGGCAGUUGAGGCAGGCCUGGCCCUGGGUUUGCAAAACUGUGGCUGGAAGAUGACUUUUAAGGCCUUUGAGGGGCCAGUGCUGCCAGCUGGAAAGAGUUGAUGUGAUUGGCACCAUUUCUAAUGGGAGAGGGUCAGGCAGUGUACAGAACUUGAGUGUUGAGCAGUCUGGCUCAUAUCCAGAGGUAAAAGCUGCCAUUUUAAACAGACAGAGACUGACUUUGGAGGCAUAUUGACACUGGUUCUGGGUCCAACCAUUUCAUGGGGAGCACACCAGACUGUAGUGACCCAGCAGCUGCAGGAUCUUACUACCCAUUGGUUUUAUCUUGGCCCAGCUAUAUGAGGGAUUGGACCCAAAGACCGGUACAGCUGGGAAGGUAAUGUAACUUAGCUGGGAAGUCUGCAACCCCAAAAGCUUUCUACUAGUCUGCGCUAAGGCCGGAUGGGAGAGAUCUGAGGGAAGGGAUUUCCAUGGCUGAUGAGAUGGGAUGGAGGUCUCUGCCCACGCUAGCAGAGUCCUUAUAGGAGCUGAAAGAAAUGUGCUCCUCAAGGGAGAAGGUUUUGAUGCUG